rnacentral:rRNA from 1 species
GAAGAGAGCUUGCUCUCUGAUUCAGCGGCGGACGGGUGAGUAAUGCCUAGGAAUCUGCCUGUAGUGGGGGACAACGUCUCGAAAGGGACGCUAAUACCGCAUACGUCCUACGGGAGAAAGCAGGGGACCUUCGGGCCUUGCGCUAUCAGAUGAGCCUAGGUCGGAUUAGCUAGUUGGUGAGGUAAUGGCUCACCAAGGCGACGAUCCGUAACUGGUCUGAGAGGAUGAUCAGUCACACUGGAACUGAGACACGGUCCAGACUCCUACGGGAGGCAGCAGUGGGGAAUAUUGGACAAUGGGCGAAAGCCUGAUCCAGCCAUGCCGCGUGUGUGAAGAAGGUCUUCGGAUUGUAAAGCACUUUAAGUUGGGAGGAAGGGCAGUAAGUUAAUACUUUGCUGUUUUGACGUUACCGACAGAAUAAGCACCGGCUAACUCUGUGCCAGCAGCCGCGGUAAUACAGAGGGUGCAAGCGUUAAUCGGAAUUACUGGGCGUAAAGCGCGCGUAGGUGGUUUGUUAAGUUGGAUGUGAAAG